rnacentral:rRNA from 1 species
AGUGGAUGGGGAGCAACCUAGUUGUGCGUGUGUAAAGGUAGUGCCAAGAAAAGCGAUGAUCAUGUUGAAAAUCAAUUCCCGGUACCCGAAACCGACACAGGUGGGCAAGUAGAGAAUACUAAGGGGCGCGAGGUAACUCUCUCCAAGGAACUCGGCAAAAUGACACCGUAACUUAGGGAGAAGGGGUGCCACCGAGAGGUGGUCGCAGUGAAGAGGCCCAGGCGACUGUUUAGCAAAAACAUAGGUCUCUGCAAACUCGAAAGAGGAGGUAUAGGGGCUGACGCCUGCCCAGUGCCGGAAGGUUAAAGAAGUUGGUCAGUCUUAGGAUGAAGCUAGCGACUGAAGCCCCGGUGAACGGCGGCCGUAACUAUAACGGUCCUAAGGUAGCGAAAUUCCUUGUCGGGUAAGUUCCGACCCGCACGAAAGGCGUAACGAUCUGGGCGCUGUCUCGGAGAGAGGCUCGGCGAAAUAGGAUUGUCUGUGAAGAUACGGACUACCUGCAUUUGGACAGAAAGACCCUAUGAAGCUUUACUAUAGCUUGGAAUUGUGUUCGGGCUUCCUGUGCGCAGGAUAGGUGGGAGGCGUAGAAGGUAUUCUUGUGGGGAUACUGGAGCCAACGGUGAGAUACCACUCUCAGGAGGCUAGAAUUCUAACUUAAUUAAGGACAGUUUCAGGUGGGUAGUUUGACUGGGGCGGUCGCCUCCAAGGUUAACGGAGGCGUACAAAGGUUCCCUCAGACUGGUUGGAAAUCAGUCGAAGAGUGCAAAGGCAGAAGGGAGCUUGACUGCGAGAAGUACAGUUCGAGCAGGGUGGAAACACGGUCUUAGUGAUCCGACGGUGCUGUGUGGAAGGGCCGUCGCUCAACGGAUAAAAGUUACUCUAGGAUAACAGGCUGAUCUCCCCCAAGAGUUCACAUCGACGGGGAGGUUUGGCACCUCGAUGUCGGCUCAUCGCAACCUGGGGCGGAAGUACGUCCCAAGGGUUGGGCUGUUCGCCCAUUAAAGCGGUACGUGAGCUGGGUUCAGAACGUCGUGAGACAGUUCGGUCCAUAUCCGAUGUAGGCGUGAGAAUAUUGAGAGGAGCCUUCCUUAGUACGAGAGGACCGGGAAGGACGCACCGCUGGUGUACCUGUUAUGAUGCCAAUUGUAAACGCAGGGUAGCCAAGUGCGGAGAGGAUAACCGCUGAAAGCAUCUAAGUGGGAAGCCCACCUCGAGAUGAGUAUUCUGGUGUAAGGUCACGGGAAGACGACCCGUAAAUAGGCACGAGGUGGAAGUGCAGAGAUGUAUGAAGCCGAAGUGUACUAAUAGACCGUCGGCUUGACC